rnacentral:rRNA from 1 species
UAGGGAAUCUUCCGCAAUGGACGCAAGUCUGACGGAGCAACGCCGCGUGAGUGAAGAAGGAUUUCGGUUCGUAAACUCUGUUGUUAGAGAAGAACAGCGCAUAGAGUAACUGUUAUGCGUGUGACGGUAUCUAACCAGAAAGCCACGGCUAACUACGUGCCAGCAGCCGCGGUAAUACGUAGGUGGCAAGCGUUGUCCGGAUUUAUUGGGCGUAAAGCGAGCGCAGGCGGUCAAUUAAGUCUGAUGUGAAAGCCCCCGGCUCAACCGGGGAGGGUCAUUGGAAACUGGUUGACUUGAGUGCAGAAGAGGAGAGUGGAAUUCCAUGUGUAGCGGUGAAAUGCGUAGAUAUAUGGAGGAACACCAGUGGCGAAGGCGACUCUCUGGUCUGUAACUGACGCUGAGGCUCGAAAGCGUGGGUAGCAAACAGG